CAAAUUUAAAAUUUGACAUCCAAACAAAAUUCAUACAAGUGCAAAAAAUAAUGUUUAAUUAACUUGAAAUGGUUAAAGAAAGGUGUGCAAAUUUGAAAUGUUUUUCUAUCAAGAGUCCGUACAUAAAAAACAUAUUGAAUCAAAAGAUAAUCGCAAACAACUGCUUUGUUGGUAGGACUCCCCGCUACAAUACAACAUAUUCACUUAGUUGUUUAUGAAUUAAUAAGAUAUUUUUUUUCGUGGUCAACAUGACGAAUGUUGAGCCAAAUAAAUAGCAUUUGUGGUCUGUGAUAUUUUUUUUGUUUAAUCAAAGAGAAAGGCAUAGGAAAGUGACUAAAUUCUUAUCGAGACUUACGGCAAUCGUGCUGUAACCAUCAAGUGGCGAUUUCAAUGUUAUUGUCAAAGAAUACGAAAAUCGACCAAAGAAGUUUGAAGAUGAAUUACAAGUAUUAUUGGACAAACAUGAUAUAUAAACACAACAAAUGAUGGUGGAGGAGUUGAAUGUUACUCGGUAAACCAUUUCCGAUCGCCUGAAAGCCAUAGGAAAGAUUCAAAAGGUUGAAAAAUAGAUUUCACACAAACUGAAGGAAUAACAGACGGAAAAACGAAAAACUACGUGACAUGAUACUUUUACGCCAUAACGAAAGGGUAUCACAUUCAAAAAUUAAUAUAUUUUGACAUCAAAGACAAAAAAUAAUGGGUAAUGGGUAACGCUAACAACAUCGAGUGCGAGAUCGGAUAGAUUUGGGUAGAUGAAGAUGUAAUGUGUGCGGUGGGAUCCGAAAGUACUAGUGAACUACGUCCGUUCCCGACAACAAAUGAUCAAUGGAGUUCAAUGGAAGAUGAAGUUCUUGUUUGGAAUGGUACCCAUAAAUUUCUUGAGAGAUGAGCCAAAUAUAUAGAAAGAGAGCGAUACUGAUACUUUGAUUAAAAUCCAAUCUUGUCAUUGUUCUCUCAUUCCAAUCCAACGUAUGUGCCCAAAUACAUUGUCAAUGUUGCAAUUUAAUUUUCCAGGAUGUGUCCAAUUCUUACAAAUAUGUACAUCAGUUUUUGGAGGAAUAAUGGCUACAUGUGUGCAAACAAUACGUUUUGUGAUUUCUGGGAAAUUAUAUUUUUUAGAAAAACAAGAAUAUAUACAUUAUAAUGUUGUACUUACAA